rnacentral:rRNA from 1 species
UCUAAUAAAAAAAUUAAUAAUAAUUGAUAGAUAGGUGGUGGCACAGAAUCGGAGGCCCCGACUGUUUACUAAAAACACAACACAGUGCAAUCAUUAAUGUGGUAGUAUACUGUGUGAAAUUUGCCCAAUGCCAUUAAUAUAAAAGCGGUCAUAGGAAACUGUGACUAAUUGAAAAUCUGGUUAAUAGCGGUCUUAACCAUGAGGAUCCUAAGGUAGCAAAAUAAAUUGGCCAUUAAAUGUGGUCCGGUAUCAAUAAUGUAACGAUGGCCUCACUGUCUCUACAACUUGCUCAGUGAAAUUGAAUU